rnacentral:rRNA from 1 species
GAAGGAAAUAAGGGCGUACAGUGGAUGCCUUGGCACU